rnacentral:rRNA from 1 species
AAUUUGAAAUCUGGCCCCUUCGGGGUCCGAGUUGUAAUUUGUAGAGAGCGCUUCGGGUGAAGUCGCGGUCUAAGUCCAUUGGAACAUGGCGUCGUAGAGGGUGAGAAUCCCGUAUGCGACCGCGGACCGAGCCCAUGUGAAGCCUCUUCGACGAGUCGAGUUGUUUGGGAAUGCAGCUCAAAAUGGGUGGUAUAUUUCAUCUAAAGCUAAAUAUUGGCUGGAGACCGAUAGCGCACAAGUAGAGUGAUCGAAAGAUGAAAAGCACUUUGGAAAGAGAGUCAAACAGUACGUGAAAUUGUUGAAAGGGAAGCGCUUGCAACCAGACCUGCCCGGGGGCGAUCAGCCGCUGUUCUCAGCGGUGCACUCGUUCCCCGAUCAGGCCAGCAUCGGUUUCGGCGGUCGGACAAAGGCCCCGGGAAUGUAGCUUCCCUCGGGGAGUCUUAUAGCCCGGGGUGCAAUGCGGCCAGCCGGGACCGAGGACCGCGCUUCGGCUAGGAUGCUGGCGUAAUGGUUGUCAGCGACCC